rnacentral:lncRNA from 1 species
CGGUAAAACUAGAUUCCUUUCUCCCACUCAUGCACACACCAGACACACUGUGCUUUAAGCUCUUUAUCUGAAGUCCUUUGCUGUUCAUGCAGCCUCUUCUUGUCAUUGCACCUUGAAGAACGGGGCAAAAAUAUCCCAAAACUUGGGUGGCUGUACUAUUUUUGUGAGACCAAGUUUCACGAUAUAUGUUUUAUUAAGUCAUAUUUCUGUUGCCUGUAAUUUUUAAUUCAAAGACAGGUCUUGUUUUGGCUUGGUAAACCCUUCCUUUCUAUGCCUUUUUUUUUUUGCUUUUGGUUUUGAUUAGUUGUCAGGAGGCACAACUGGUAUCACUUUUAGAACAUAGAACAUGGAGAGCUAUUGGGUAUUUGCUUGUUCCUUGUUUUAGACAGUGUCUGAAAAGUUGUGAAGCUCCCUUUGUUAUUUUCUGGAAACUGCUAAAAGGGGAGUUUGGUAUGGUUGCUGUGAGAUGUCUGAAUUCAAUUUGAGCAUUCAGUUCAAAUCCAAAUAUAAAUAUCAUUAAAAGGCAUGCUGCACUCUGAAAUAGAAAAUGAGAAUAAGAAAUCCGUUCUAUUUCUCAUUUCUCUUCACUAUUGUUUGGAAGUCAAAUCUCAUUCUUGAUAAGGUCAUAUGAUGCUGCACUUUCAUUCUCAUAAUAUUUUUAUUGCUGUUUCCGCAUCCUAAAUGAAAUUGAUGUUGCACAGGAGGUAGACUAUUUCAUGGUGAUGAUAGGUCGGCCGCCAUAUUAAUAAAAAGGCGCAGUGGGUUGGGCUAAUGGGUUUGCUAUUCUCAAUCAAGCAAGGAAAGACUGCCUAUGAUUACUAUUGUCAAAUAGCUGCAAUACUAGGUUCUAGUAUGGAGAAUUGACGUAAACACAGUACAGAUUGGAGCACCAAUCGGAUGCCUGCAUUGAUUUGCCAUUCAUCUCUCAGUAGUCACAGAAUACCAGGAGGCGCUCCAUCAAACAAGAUGUGAAAAUCGGGUAUCAUAUAUUUUUGAAACUGUACCUUUUGUCUUCCCUCAUCCUCGUGCACAACAGCACACUGUCCAAUCUUCAUCACCAUCAUCUUAUCUUCAUCAUCUCCACCCAUCAUACGACCAGAUUUAGUAUCUUCCUUAGAAUUCUAAAAACUUUCAAAUUCUCUAAACUAAAAAGAUUAUUUUAGAAAAUGAAAAGUUUAGAACUUCUGAUAAGGAGAAUUUUAAAACCUUUCAAAUUCUAAAUAAUUCUUAAAUACCAAUUACUAAUUAAUUAUGACACCUAAAAACUGAUAAAUUACUUAAAUGCCCUUGAUGGAGUAAUUUAGGGAUUUCAUAUUCAUCCUCAGUAGUCAUGUUGGCAACUUCGUGGAAAGCCUCCAAUAGUUUGUGGAGGAGGAAAUGAGAGGUGAGGUGGAAACCAAGGGUGUUGGCAACCUAAUGGAAAGCAUAGGGGGAGAAUAUAUUUUGCUUAGACAGGUAACUAUUCUCUUGCAUGUCUUAAAAGAACAAUUUUUAAACCCUGGGUAAUUUGAUUCACCAACUUUGGACUAUACGACCAAUUCGUCAAGUUGCUUCCUAACUAAUAGCAUAUGCCAUGAAAUCAAAAAAUCAAAAUUGCAAAUAGAAUGUUCAUCACCACAGUUGGCUAAAGAGAUGUCUCUUUGGGUAAAGAUAUCGUCCUUUAUUUAAAGAGUGAACCCAUCUAGUUCUAGUCCAACGGUCCCAUUUUAGGAGGAAAUCCCUUUCUUGGAUUCAGCCCCCUUCCUUUGCAUGUAUUAAAACUUUUUGUAAACCUAUUAUCUAUUUCUUAAAUCACCAAAACUGUGAAUAAUUCUAUAAAUCUCUCACAUUCUAAAUGUGUUUUUCAUGAACUUAAUAUAAGAAAGAUGAUUGGACAUGCUAGAGAGAAAGAUGGACCACACAUCCUUGAAGUUGAAAGCAAUAUAACAUGCUUAAGUCCUCUUUCCUAUUUAUAAAGUUCCAAGUUCCAAGUCCACGAAGUUUGUUUACUCUAUCUUUGUCUUAGUCAUCCAUUGUUUAGGUUAUUAAAGAAAAUGUUUCCUAAUGUGUUGGAAAAAAUUAGAUAUUCAAAAUUUCAUUGUAAUGUAUGUAAACAUACUAAACAUCAUCAAGUGUCUUUUUCUUUGAAUAAUAAAAGAAAUUAUAUUCCUUAUAGUUUAAUUCAUACUGAUAUUUGAGAACUUACAAAGGUCUAAAGUACUUUUACGGCACAACGGUCUUUUAUUAAUGAUUAUACAAUAAUUACCUAAGUAUACCUAAUGAAACAAAAGCCAGAUAUUAGUACCAUAUUUUUUGUUUUUCAUAAAAUGUUAAGUACCCAAUUUAACUCAAAAAUGCAAACCUUGAGAUUUGAUAAUGGGAGGAAAUACUUUAACUAAUAUCUUUCAUUGUGAAAUUUAGUUAAUUUUGAUUUUGAUGAUAAUAAAAUAAGAUUUGAAACUAAUUAUUAGAUUUCAAGUGUGAUUAGGCAAGAAGAUUUCCAAAAUGACAAUCACAAAGACAAAAUCAAGACAAAUGGAAAUCAAUAAGAAGAUAGACUUCAAAGAAAAGUGUUUUUCAAGACCUAAGCUUUAUAAGAUCUUUUUGUAAGGUUGUUGGUGCACUAGGUUUUUCAUGCAUUACAUUAUUAACUUAUGCACCAAAAUCAUCCAAAAGUAAUUUUGUUUUAAAUCCUUUAAAAUUGAAUGAUUUCAUGUUUUCAACUAAAACAUUAUGUCAAAUGUUUUCCAAACUCGUUUAAAAGGUUUUAAGUUGAAAAUGAUGGUUGUUGAGCAAAAAACGGCUCAACCGGUUGAACCAUAUAAGGAACCAAUUGACCUACUCAGCUCAACUGGUCGAAGAGUGCAAAAACCUUUUCUUUCUUUCACAACGUUUGUUCAACCGGUCAAGGUUGAACCUCAACCGGUCAAAGUCCAGUCAAAAGGUGGUUAAGGUCCAACGGUCACCUGCCAAACAUUAAAUAAUAAUAGCUAGUCAACCGGUCAAUCCCCAACUUGAUCAGUCAAAUCCUCAAUGGCUAGUUUGACAUUUUUCUUUUAUAAAAAGGCUUCAAUCUGCAUUGUUUCAAGAGCUUAACCUUCCUAAACAUUUCUUGAAUAUAUUGAGCCUUGGGAUAUUGUUUUUUGAGUGCACCAUUAUUUUAAAACUUGUAUAUCUUUAGUGCACCAUUUAAUCCUAAUUUUCUUGUAUCAUUUGAGCCUAAAGUUUAAUACUAGGAUUUUGUGAAAUUAUUUGUAAAUCAUUUAAAGGAAGAAUCUAGGUGUGAGGUAUCACUUGAGGGAUUGUAAAAGGUGCUUGCACCCAAAAGUCCAAAGGGGUUCAUUGGAACCAUAAUCUAAUUAUAUUGUUUGAAAACUUGUAUCGGAAGCCUUGAAUUAGUGGAUUAGUAUGCACCCCCAAUAUCCUCAAAAAGACAAUUGGUUGACAUAUUCACUAAAGGACUAACAACUCAACCAUUCCAAUAUGUUAUAAACAAGUUGAGAAUGAAAAACAUUCACUCACCACUUUAAAGGGGAGUGUUAAAGAACUAGUGCAAUAAUUGUAAAAUUAUACAACUCGUAUAAUUUGUAAACAUUUCUGUUACUAUGUGGACAUUUUAAAGUUUUAUGAGAGAAGAAAUAUCUCCUCACAUCAGAGCUCACAAUACCUGAUAACUUUGCAUCAAUUCUUGAUGAGUGGUGGGCAAAGCUAUGCGCAUUUCAGUAAUGCAAAAGGGAAUAUUCUGCCCGGUAAGAACCUGUCCUGUUUUUAGUGGUUCAUUUGGAGAGGGUCUGAACAAGUGAAUCAAGGAUCACAUAAGCAUUAGGUUAAUUAAUUAAAUAUUCUGAAUAAUCAUACGCAGUUCUCUUAACUAAUAGCAGAAGCAACUUUUAAAUAUGUGUAUGUAUUCUUGCAUAUAUUCUCUCUUUUUGUUCUGUGUCUGUGUUCUCUACUUUUGUGAUAAAUGCUUAUCAGAUGUGCACCAUUUUCCUCUAUGGAGUUGAUUUCUUUUCUGUGUAGACUGGUUGUGAGCUCAUUAUAAGAAAAAAAGAAGCUUUAACACAGCCACCAGCCACAGCUUCUGUUAUCACAAUGCAACCUCCACUGCCCCACUCCAUGCUUCCAUACCAACCACCACCAGCCCAGGUUGUUGCUCGUACAAGCACUGCUCCUUCACUUCCAACACCUGCCCCUGCAAAGACAAGCGAGUCGUCUCAUCCACCACUGAAAUGCCCCAUGGCUGGAACCUUUUAUCGAUCCCCUGGACCAGGUGAACCUCCAUUUGUGAUGGUAAGCGUUUGACUUAGUAAAUAAGAUCUAAGGGGAUGGGAACCGACACAUGCUCACUCAAGCUUGGCUAUUUAAUAUAAACUUAAGGAGUUAGAUAUUAAUUCGGAGUCAGAUUCAUUCCCUGUCUGAUAUUCACUCAUCUCUCUUCAGGUAGGAGAUAAAGUGCAGAAAGGACAGGUUGUUUGUAUUAUUGAGGCCAUGAAAUUAAUGAAUGAAAUUGAAGUGAGUUCCCUUUUUUUUCUUUAUUGAUCAUGUAUUUUUUUGUCUCUUUUAUGGUCUCAUAAUACUGAGAAUUGCUGCCAUUGUCUUAACUAAGAAAAUUUAUUAACCAUGGUGCUUUAACCAGAAUCAAAACUGAAAUAGCCUGAAAUGGGAGAUUUUUAUUAAUUAAACUACUUUUUCAUUUUCCUGUGACAGGCUGAUCAAUCGGGAACCAUAACUGAGAUACUGGCAGAGGAUGGGAAGCCAGUUAGUAUAGACAGGGUAAAACUAGCUCCCUUUCUCCCACUCAUGCACACACCACCAGACACAUCGUGCGUUAAGCUCUUUAUCUGAAGUCCUUUGUUGGCCAUGCAGCCUCUUCUUGUCAUUGCACCUUGAAGAACGGGGCAAAAAUAUCCGAAAACUUGGGUGGCAGUAAUUUUAAGUCAUAUUUCUGUUGCCUGUAAUUUUUAAUUCAAAGACGGGUCUUGUUUUGGCUUGGUAAACCCUUCCUUUCUGUGCC